ensembl:Y_RNA Y_RNA Y RNA
GGCUCGUCUGAGUGCAGUGGUGUUUACAACAAAUUGAUCACAACCAGUUACAGAUUUCUUUGUUCCUUCUCCACUCCCACUGCUUCACUUGACUAGCCUAAA